rnacentral:rRNA from 1 species
GGCCAGCAUCGGUUCUUGCUGCGGGAGAAUGGGUGCCGGAAAGUGGCUCUUAGGAGUGUUAUAGCCGGNACNAGAUACGNNUGCGGGGACCGAGGACUGCGGCUUCUGUCUAGGAUGCUGGNAUAAU